ACCUAUCUACAGGGUCCGUAAGAUUUUGGACAUGCGUCCUCGGGGCCGUGGUCAUCAGUACCUAGUGGAUUGGGAGGGGUACGGUCCUGAGGAGAGGAGUUGGGUUCCCUCUCGGGACGUGCUGGACCGUCCGCUGAUCGAUGAUUUCCUCUGUUGCCGCCAGGUUUCCUCCUCGAGUGCGCCAGGAGGCGCUCGGUGAGUGGGGGGGUACUGUCAUGUAUUGUCAUGUUGUGUCUUGUUUCUGUCCUUUCUCUUCACCCUGUCUCCCUCUGCUGGUCGUACUAGGUUACCUUUUCUUCCCCUCUUUCCCCCAGCUGUUCCUUGUCUUCUCUGACUACCUCGUUCACCCCUUUUCCCACCUGUUCCCUUUUUCCCUCUGAUUAGGUCUCUAUAUCUCUCUCUCUUUCUGCUUCUGUCUUUGUCGGAUUCUCGUUUGUGUAUCUCAUGCCAGAACCAGACUAUCGUCGUGUUUGCUUUACCUUGUCCUGUCCUGUCAGAAUCUGCCUGUCCAUCUGAGCCUACGUGUGUUUCGUUAUUAAAGAAACUCUGUUUAUGUUAAACCGCUUUUGGGUCCUCACUCACCGCAUAACAGUUUUAUUCUUCACUAGUAUUUUACAAUGUAGAAAAUAGUACUAAUAAAGAAUGGUUUGUUUGUAAAGACACCAGUACCCAGACAGACUGUGCAUCUGAUGUGUGUGUUCAUUUAAAACAGACUCCAAAUUAGAACCAUUUGUCAGAUUGCUUCUUGUCUCCAGAAUGUCAAUGUAUACGAUUUCCAUGUUAGGUUGUAAAUGUCAUGUAGUGGCCAGUCACAGCAUCUGUCCUGUAUGGCAGUAUGUUGCAUGUCUCGUGACGUUAGCCCCCUCCCCACAAACACUCACACCCUCUCUUGAAUGUCACUGUUCAGAAUGCUGCAUGUUAGCCUUCUCCAACCUUAGUUCUGUCAGUCUGAGGACAUCUCAACAAGCUAAGAGACCUCUGAAACCUCAACAAGCUAAGAGCUCGUAUCAGACGUUACUCUGACGUCAUGCCCCUCCCAGACUCCUUCAUCCAGAAGCAGCAGCUGGACGCCAGCAUGGCUGACACCUUCCUGGAGCACCUGUGUCUGCUGGACAUCGACCAGGAGCCAAUCACAGCCCGCAACACAAGCAUCAUCUGCACCAUCGGUGAGUUAAAUAACUAAUCAUCUGCACCACGUGUCAGAAAGCAUUCCACGGAGGCCUGAGUGUCUGUGAGCUUUCGCUCUACCCUUGUAGCCCAAAAAAGUAGCUCUACCCUUGUAGGCUACAAAGUAGCCCAAAAAAUAUAUGCCAUAUUGGGUAGUCAACAUUAUUGGUGAGUUAAAUAACCAAUCAGCUGCACCCUUGGUGAGUUAAAUAACCAUAUCUGCACCAUCAGUGAGUUAAAUAACCAAUCAUCUGCACCAUCAGUGAGUUAAAUAACCAAUCAGCUGCAUCAUCAGUGAGUUAAAUAACCACAUCUGCACCAUCAGUGAGUUAAAUAACCAAUCAGCUGCAUCAUUGGUGAGUUAAAUAACCACAUCUGCACCAUCAGUGAGUUAAAUAACCAAUCAGUUGCAUCAUUGGUGAGUUAAAUAUCCACAUCUGCACCAUCAGUGAGUUAAAUAUCCACAUCUGCACCAUCAGUGAGUUAAAUAAACAAUCAGCUGCACCAUCAGUGAGUUAAAUAACCACAUCUGC
rnacentral:lncRNA from 13 species